rnacentral:lncRNA from 1 species
GUGGCUGAAAAUGGAUGCGGUGCAGUGGACAGCAAGAGUUCGGGGGGCGAACCCCAUUUCCAGGGGUCUCCCUCAGGGUGCUCGCCUGGAAUUGGGAUGCAUGGUCAAUCCCACUCUACAGCAUCCCAAGGUCUGGGUCCCUGAAUUAGACCAAAUCUCAGGGACAUUUCUGCUCUUCUGACUCAAUGACCAACCUCAAUGGGUGGGUCAGACUGUGGUGAGAGGACCAAAGGGGGAGCCUGUCCUGGAAACAGUCGGGUGACUGGAACAUUUAGGCUCCCUUCUGCCCACCUAGGAAGCCAUCCCCAGUAGAUACAUGAAACAGGUUCUGGUGGGCUCUUCCAUGUAGUGGAGGAGGCAGGGGUGCGGGAAGAGGAGGAAACUGGAACUGGAGGUCUUAGCCUAAGGAUCUCCUUCCUGUUUGUAGGGAAGCGACUGUCUCAGAAAGCUGUUGGGGGAGAGGAGGGAGGCCAUGGUGACUUCCCGGAGGAAGGCCCACCCUCCCUGUGCCCAAAUGGGGUUCUCCAGUCCUGGCUUAAAAUAGUGCAACUCUGCCAUUGAUGCUGGACCCAGCCGGGACCUAGAAGGUUUGCAACCAUGGUUUGUGAUGCCAGUAGGAACGGUGGGUACGUGUGAGGGUCUACCCAGCUACCCAGUUGAAAUCAGACUGUGCCCUGUGGCCACAAGGACAAACAAACAAACAAACAAACCAACCUUUGGAUGCAAGUUUCAGCUCUUGCACUGAUCAGCUUUGAGACUCUGGUCUGGUGCCUGCCUGGCUUUCAACCAAAAUGAAGACAGUGGCUUGGCACGGUCUGGUGCCUUUCAACCAAAUGAAGACAAGAGCCUUGCCAGACAUAAAGUGGGUGCACAG